rnacentral:rRNA from 1 species
GGGUGGAAUCAUACCAGCACUCAUGCACCGGAUCCCAUCAGAGCUCCGUAGUUAAGUGUGCUUGGGAGAGUGUAGUACUAGGAUGGGUGACCUCAUGGGAAGUCCUCGGUUGAGCCCC